CAUAAUGGAUCGCCCCGAGUCACAUUGAUGACCUGAACAGACUGACCAAUAAAGGAAGCCGGUUAAAUUCCGGCGCUGCCCCGCAACUGUAAGCGGAACGAAAUCCACAAAAUGCCACGGACAUGAAAAUGUCGGGAAGGCGUGGAGAGUAAGCUGCCGCAAGCCAGGAGACUUUAUGGACAGUCCAACAUA
rnacentral:ncRNA from 2 species